rnacentral:rRNA from 1 species
UUAAAUAAGGACAUUACACAUGUGAAUCAAACGUUUAUUAUAUAACAAAUAUAAUAAAUAAGUGGUGAAGAAGUGAGUAAAAAAUAGAAAUAAUGAACUAUAAAUUAUAUUAAAUGUAUAAUAAAUUAUAUAUAUAAAAAUAUAUAUAAAUAAAAUUAAAUUGUUUAUAGUCAAGUCUAUAAUAGUUUAAGGUAGUAGGAUUAAUAAAAGAUAAACCUAGCCAACGAUCUAUAAUCGAUAAUGAAAGUUAUAAUGAUCACAUUGAUUAAUGAUUUAAUCAAUAUCUAUAGAUACAGCAGUGGGGAAUAUUAAACAAUGAUCGAAAGAUUGAUUUAGUUACUUAUUAAGAUGAAUAUUUAAUUGAUAAAAAAUAAAAUCUAUAUAUAAUUAAAAUAAUGAUAUUAAUUACUUUAAUAUUUAAAGUAUUUAUUAAUAUUUCAAAUAUAAAUAUAUAAUAGUCUUAACAAAUAAUUGUGCCAGCAGUUGCGGUUAUACAAUGAAGGUUAACGUUAAUC